CAGGACUCCAUCAUCCAUCUCGGCAUUCCACAAUAAAGGGACUGGAGUGGGUAACUUCAAUGUUUCAUUUGGGAGGUGUGACUCACAUUACUUUUUACCUGUCCUGCUUAAUACAAUUCAUGUAUUUCCAUUUUUUAGGUUUAUUGUUUGCUCUUGCUAGAAACUGAUGAUGUUAAUGCUCACUUUGCUAGACCUGAAUACCCAAAGACACUGCAUCGCUCCGGUGUUUUGUAGCAAUCCUGUAGACCCAAGCCCAGAAGCCCUGCAACACAAGUUCUGCUUGCUGCCAACAGGGGUAACGCAAGGAACUUCCAUGAAACCUCUCCAGAUUCUGAUUUAUCUACUGAGUGGGGGAUGGAUCAUUAGUGGAGAACAAGUGCCACCAGUGGUGACCAAAAGCUAUGGUCACCUAACCACCCCCUGAAGUGCCUGAUGAAGUACCCAGGAGUGCACAUCUGUUGUGUGAAAACCCUGAUGGUGGGCAGCACUUGGAGCUGUCAUCAGCAACUGGUCCUUUAGUACUUCUUCAAGCAAGUGCUGCAAACACAGGGAGGACAGGACACCCUUUCCCUGCCCCUGCUGUAAAAGUGAUGCACAUAAAUGGGUGAGCUCGAUUGUCCCAUAUUUCAGGCCAACAUCUUUCACAAGCAUUUCAGGAACAGCUUCAAAGGCAUGCAGCUCGAACUAAUGAGAAGCAUACAGGAGGUCAGAAUUACUGUCUAGUCUUGGAAAAAUCAGAAUAUAUAUUCUUUUUUCUUUUUCUGUUUUUAUCAGGCAUUUUUCUUUAAAAUAGAUAAGCAACUUCUUUUAUAAGAAACCUGGAAAUGAUUGCUUAAAAUUAGUAAGUUACAAUUCCAAUGAAUGGCCUAUCUGGAGCAGCUGGGUUUAAACACUCAAGGGAGAAGUUGGGGAAAGGAAAGGGAAAAAACAGGAGUACAUGAUUGUUUCUGUGCUGAUUCACAGAUCUGUUUGCCAUCAAAUCUCUCAUUGUGGUGGUGACAUGGACUUGUUACAGCUAAAAGCAAAGAAUGCAGAAAGUAAGAGCAUUUGACCCUAAAGCCCAAAAUACUCAAAGGUUUAGUGUUUUGAGUAAGGCAAUGAUCCAAAGCCUAUAAAAGCAGAAGAAAAAUAGCCUUUAGCUUCAGUGGGCAUUGCAUCAGGCCUUCAGAUGACUGGCAAUCAGCAGACUUCAUGCUGUGUGAUUCUUUAUGAAAGAAGCAUUAGUUCUCCAACACACAGUCAGCUGAGGAGGAAUAAGACAUGCUGUGUCUUUGCAACUUACCCUUCUGGUCAGCAGACAUCCCCAUCACUGAGGGUGAUGUAGAUAUUCUUGCACAACUGGUGAAAAGGCAUCCAGCUGUGCUUUGCAACUGCUGCUUCCCGCUAAGCCAUCACUAGAGAGAGAAUUAGCAGAGACUCCAUUGUCACAUACCCUAGAUCUGAACCCUGGGUUAUAUUUAAACGAGCAUAGGAAAGAGUCUGAAGACUCUAUGACCCUGGUGAAUUGGGGGAUUGCUUUUUCUAAACUGGAAGGCAAACGUCGGAAGAUCAGAUUACAAGUGACUACACGAAUGUUUUCUCUUCAUGGUGGGUCAGCUGGAGUUCAGGCUCUGUAAAUUCCAAGGAGGUGGUUCCAGAGCAGUUUAAGCACUUCAGCAAUUCCUAGCACCGGUGGUCUCAGCUUGGGAAGGAUUUCAUAACAUGUCUGAAAGCCAAAGGCUUCUUUGCUAAUUUAAUAAAGAGUGAACCAGUGGGUAAGUCCCUAGAAAA
rnacentral:lncRNA from 1 species